rnacentral:rRNA from 1 species
CCUACGGGAGGCUGCAGUAGGGAAUCUUCCACAAUGGGCGAAAGCCUGAUGGAGCAACGCCGCGUGGGUGAAGAAGGUCUUCGGAUCGUAAAACCCUGUUGUUAGAGAAGAAAGUGCGUGAGAGUAACUGUUCACGUUUCGACGGUAUCUAACCAGAAAGCCACGGCUAACUACGUCCCAGCAGCCGCGGAAAUACGUAGGUGGCAAGCGUUAUCCGGAUUUAUUGGGCGUAAAGGGAACGAAGGCGGUCUUUUAAGUCUGAUGUGAAAGCCUUCGGCUUAACCGGAGUAGUGCAUUGGAAACUGGGAGACUUGAGUGCAGAAGAGGAGAGUGGAACUCCAUGUGUAGCGGUGAAAUGCGUAGAUAUAUGGAAGAACACCAGUGGCGAAAGCGGCUCUCUGGUCUGUAACUGACGCUGAGGUUCGAAAGCGUGGGUAGCAAACAGGAUUAGAUACCCCUGUAGUC